rnacentral:rRNA from 1 species
UACGUAGGGGGCAAGCGUUGUCCGGAAUCAUUGGGCGUAAAGAGCGUGUAGGCGGCUCGAUAAGUCUGCUGUGAAAGUCCAGGGCUCAACCCUCGGAUGCCGGUGGAUACUGUCGGGCUUGAGUACGGGAGAGGCGAGUGGAAUUCCUGGUGUAGCGGUGAAAUGCGCAGAUAUCAGGAGGAACACCAAUUGCGAAGGCAGCUCGCUGGAACGUUACUGACGCUGAGACGCGAAAGCGUGGGGAGCAAACAGG